rnacentral:rRNA from 1 species
AUGCACGCCACUUGCAACGGCCCGUGGCUCCUCAGUGGGGACUUCAACAUGAUCGUCUCCCCCGAGGAAAAGAAUAAUGACAACCUUCAUCGCGCCUCUAUGCGACGCUUCCGGCAUUUCAUCGCCGAUGAGGAGCUCCGAGACAUCUACCUCCACGGCCGGUGCUAUACGUGGUCUAAUGAGCGCGAGGCUCCCACUCCCGAGCGCAUCGACAGGGUUCUCUGCACCGUUGGUUGGGAGCUUGAUCACCCGAGCUGCAUGCUACGCUGUCUAUCCUCCGCCGCCUCGGACCAUGCACCGCUCAUUAUCGACGCGCUGCCGCGUUCCUCCGGCCACAGGCGCUUCCACUUUGAACGUUUCUAG